UGGGGAAUAUUGCGCAAUGGCCGCAAGGCUGACGCAGCGACGCCGCGUGUGGGAUGAAGGCUUUCGGGUUGUAAACCACUGUCAGGAGGGACGAAUACUCGGGGGUGAAUAGCCUACCGAGGGUGACGGUACCUCCAAAGGAAGCGCCGGCCAACUCCGUGCCAGCAGCCGCGGUAACACGGAGGGCGCGAGCGUUGUUCGGAAUCACUGGGCGUAAAGCGCACGUAGGCGGUCGGGUAAGUCGCUUGUGAAAGCCCGGGGCUCAACCCCGGGACGCCAGGCGAUACUGCACGACUGGAGCACGGUAGAGGCAAGUGGAAUUCCCGGUGUAGCGGUGGAAUGCGUAGAUAUCGGGAAGAACACCAGUGGCGAAGGCGGCUUGCUGGGCCGUUGCUGACGCUGAGGUGCGAAAGCGUGGGGAGCAAACAGGAUUAGAUACCCCCGUAGUCC
rnacentral:rRNA from 1 species